UGGGGAAUCUUGGACAAUGGGGGAAACCCUGAUCCAGCCAUGCCGCGUGAGCGAUGAAGGCCUUAGGGUUGUAAAGCUCUUUCGCCAGGGAAGAUAAUGACGGUACCUGGUAAAGAAACCCCGGCUAACUCCGUGCCAGCAGCCGCGGUAAUACGGAGGGGGUUAGCGUUGUUCGGAAUUACUGGGCGUAAAGCGCACGUAGGCGGAUGUGUCAGUCAGAGGUGAAAUCCCAGGGCUCAACCCUGGAACUGCCUUUGAUACUGCAUGUCUUGAGGUCGAGAGAGGUGAGUGGAAUUCCGAGUGUAGAGGUGAAAUUCGUAGAUAUUCGGAGGAACACCAGUGGCGAAGGCGGCUCACUGGCUCGAACCUGACGCUGAGGUGCGAAAGCGUGGGGAGCAAACAGGAUUAGAUACCCCCGUAGUCC
rnacentral:rRNA from 1 species